rnacentral:rRNA from 1 species
AGAUGAAAAGAACUUUGAAAAGAGAGUUAAACAGUACGUGAAAUUGUUGAAAGGGAAACGAUUGAAGCCAGUCGUACCUUCGGGUAAUCAGCCUUUCGGGUGCGAUUCUGUGGAGUGUGAGGAGCUUAAACACCUUCAUGUUUUGCAUAUUCGUACUCUUGGGUGUACUUGCCCGUGUGGUUGGUUAACAUCAAUUUUGGUGGUCAUAAAAUGACUGGGGGAAUGUAGCUUCGAUCUUGUAUUGAAGUGUUAUAGCCUUCGGUAGAUGUGAUGAUCGAGAUUGAGGAUUGCAACGGAUACCCUUCGGGGCUACCUGUCUGAUCUCUGAUCGUUGCUUUGGUGCCGAAAGCUUGCUUACGGUUAUCAAAGUCGAUGGUCAAUAGGUUAGAACGGGUUAAAUUCGUUAAGGAUGUUGACGUAAUGGCUUUAAACGACCCGUCUUGAAACACGGACCAAGGA